rnacentral:pre_miRNA from 1 species
CUCACACACAUGUGUGUAGGACCCUAAAAGAUCACCGUUAAAUUUGGCACAGAUCUCUAAAAAAGUUAUCAUAUGGGUGUGAGACUUGAUUUUUCUAAAGAUCUGUGUCAAAUUUAAUGGUGAUCCUUUGGGGUCCUACACACAUGGGUGUGAG